CUGACUAUUUUUUAGCCAACCCCCGCAGCCCGUAGGCCUUAGCGCCCUGCCACAUGAAAAAAAAAUUGCAACUCUUGCCUUCGCUCCGUUUACUUACUAAAAGUAAUAGGUAGUAUGUACGCCGGCUAAUUUCCCGCAGUUGGGGAA
rnacentral:sRNA from 1 species